UACGGAGGGGACUAGCGUUGUUCGGAAUUACUGGGCGUAAAGCGCACGUAGGCGGAUCUGUAAGUCAGGGGUGAAAUCCCGGGGCUCAACCUCGGAACUGCCUUUGAUACUGCAAAUCUCGAGUCCGGAAGAGGUGAGUGGAGUUCCUAGUGUAGAGGUGAAAUUCGUAGAUAUUAGGAAGAACACCAGUGGCGAAGGCGGCUCACUGGUCCGGUACUGACGCUGAGGUGCGAAAGCGUGGGGAGCAAACAGG
rnacentral:rRNA from 1 species